rnacentral:rRNA from 1 species
GCCUCCCUCUUUCUUCGUGCUUAACACAUGCAAGUCGAACGGAAAGGCCCUGCUUUUGUGGGGUGCUCGAGUGGCGAACGGGUGAGUAACACGUGAGUAACCUGCCCUUGACUUUGGGAUAACUUCAGGAAACUGGGGCUAAUCCCGGAUAGGAGCUCCUGCUGCAUGGAGGGGGUUGGAAAGUUUCGGCGGUUGGGGAUGGACUCGCGGCUUAUCAGCUUGUUGGUGGGGUAGUGGCUUACCAAGGCUUUGACGGGUAGCCGGCAUGGGAGGGUGACCGGCCACAUUGGGACUGAGAUACGGCCCAGACUCCUACGUGAGGCAGCAGGGGGGAAUAUUGCACAAUGGGCGGAAGCCUGAUGCAGCAACGCCGCGUGCGGGAUGCCGGCCUUCGGGGUGUAAACCGCUUUCGCCUGUGACGAAGCGGGAGUGACGGUAAUGGGUAAAGAAGCACCGGCUAACUACGUG